GAUGAACGCUGGCGGCGUGCCUAACACAUGCAAGUCGAACGAGCGAGAGAUGAAACCUAGUGAUUCUCGAGCGAGUGGCGGACGGGUGAGUAACGCGUGGGUAACCUGCCUUACAGAGGGGGAUAACAGUCUGAAAAGACUGCUAAUACCGCAUAAGCACACAGUACCGCAUGGUACAGGGUGAAAAGAUUUAUCACUGUAAGAUGGACCCGCGUCUGAUUAGCCAGUUGGCAGGGUAACGGCCUACCAAAGCGACGAUCAGUAGCCGACCUGAGAGGGUGAUCGGCCACAUUGGGACUGAGACACGGCCCAAACUCCUACGGGAGGCAGCAGUGGGGGAUAUUGCACAAUGGAGGAAACUCUGAUGCAGCGACGCCGCGUGAGUGAAGAAGUAUUUCGGUAUGUAAAGCUCUAUCAGCAGGGAAGAUAAUGACAGUAC
rnacentral:rRNA from 1 species